rnacentral:rRNA from 1 species
ACUGCUCAGUAACACGUGGACAACCUACCCUUAGGUCUGGUAUAACCCCGGGAAACUGGGAAUAAUACCGGAUAUAUCGCGAAGGCUGGAAUGCGUCGCGAUAGAAAGCUCCGGCGCCUAAGGAUGGGUCUGCGGCCUAUCAGGGUAGUAGUGGGUGUAAAGUACCUACUAGCCUACGACGGGUACGGGUUGUGAGAGCAAGAGCCCGGAGAUGGAUUCUGAGACACGAAUCCAGGCCCUACGGGGUGCAGCAGGCGCGAAAACUUUACAAUGCUGGAAACAGCGAUAGGGGGACCUCGAGUGCCACCGUACAACGGUGGCUGUCGUUGUGUCUAAAAAACACGAUAUAGCAAGGGCCGGGCAAGACCGGUGCCAGCCGCCGCGGUAACACCGGCGGCUCGAGUGGUAACCGCUAUUAUUGGGUUUAAAGGGUCUGUAGCCGGCCGGAUAAGUCUCUUGGGAAAUCUGGCAGCUUAACUGUCAGGCUUUCAGGAGAUACUGUUCGGCUCGAGACCGGGAGAGGUGAGAGGUACUUCAGGGGUAGGGGUGAAAUCUUGUAAUCCUUGAAGGACCACCAGUGGCGAAGGCGUCUCACCAGAACGGAUCUGACGGCAAGGGACGAAAGCUAGGGGCACGAACCGGAUUAGAUACCCGGGUAGUCCUAGCCGUAAACAAUACUCGCUAGGUGUCGGCCACGGUGCGACCGUGGUCGGUGCCGUAGGGAAACCGUGAAGCGAGCCACCUGGGAAGUACGGCCGCAAGGCUGAAACUUAAAGGAAUUGGCGGGGGAGCAC